AAAAAAAUUAUUUCUAGUUUUUAUAUUUGUUUUAAUAUAUGAAUUUAUAUAAGAAUUUUCUUAUAAAUUUUUAUAUUUUUAAUAUAUAUAAAUUUUUAUAUUUAUUUUAAUAUAUAAAUUUUUAUAUUUAUUGAAAUAUAAAUAAAGUAAUAUUAAAAAUUAUUGUCUAAAAUUUGUGCCAGCAGUCGCGGUAAGACAAAGAAUAAAUUAAAUAUUGAUUGAAUUUAAAUCUGUUAAUAAAAUGUUAAUUGAAAAUAAUAAAUUUUAAGAUUGAAUUUAAAUUUGUUAAUAAAAUGUUAUUAGAUUAUAAUUUUAAAAAUUGAAAUUAAACUAGGAUUAGAUACCCUAUUAUUAAAAUUAAAAUAAAAAUUUAAGUAUUAAAAGUUAUUUACUUUAAACUUAAAGAAUAUGGCAGUAUUUUAAUCAAUUUAGAGGAAUUUGUUUAUUAAUUGAUAAUACACGAUUAAUUUUACUUAAUUUAUAUUUGUAUAUCGUUGUUAAAAAUUUAUUUUUAAAUAAUUAUGAAUAAUUAAGAUUUUGAAUGAAAAAAAUAAAUCAAAUCAAGAUACAGUUUAAUUAAGAAUAUUAUGAAUUACAAUAAAAUUAUUUAAAUGAAUAUUAAUUUGAAAUAAUUAAUUGAAGGUGGAUUUAAAUGUAAUUAAUUUAAAUUAAAUAAAAUGAUUAAUGUUUUAAAAUAUGUACAUAUUGCCCGUCGCUCUCAAUAAAAAUUUUUAAUUAAUUAAGAUUAAGAAUAAUAUUUAUAGUAAUAUUUAUUUUUAAUUGAGAUAAGUCGUAACAAAGUAGAUGUACUGGAAAGUGUAUCUAGAAUAUU
rnacentral:ncRNA from 1 species